AGAAAUUUUAUUGAGAAUUUUUUUUUUAGCAUGAUUGUAACUAACUGCAACGGAGAGCGUUCUUUUACAAAUUAAAAAUGAAUCAAGAAGUAUAAUGCUACAAGAAAAAAUUGAACACUUAAUUGUUGAUGUCAAUUGAAUGUUUUAUGCUCAAAAACCGAGACUUCAAAGAAGAAAUUAACGAUUUUGCUCAUCUUAUAUCUAGAAGGGUACCCGUCAAUAAAAAUAGAAUUUUCAAAAUUUCCAGAUUAUUUUAUAAUUAUUUGAUAUAAUUUUAAUAUUUAAAUUUAUAUUAUACUACCUAUAUUUAAUGUGUAAUAAAAAUAAUAAAAAUAAUCUAGACUUUUUCUAAUCUACCAACGCCCUAUUUACCUGGUUUAAUAAAAUAGUACUUUUUCCAAGUCGUAGGGGCCUCAUUAUACCACUGCCCCGAUCCUCAAAAAGGAUAAAGUUGGCCCUGUAUAUUUACAAUGUGUUGAGCUUAUUAACUAAAUUUUUUCAAAAUUUUAUAAAAUGAUUUUAGAUAUCUGUGUUGAAAAUAAUUUAUUGUAAAACGUUUGAGUCGAGCAACAUUUUUAUUUUUACGUUCGUAUUAAAUUAUAUAUUUUCCCUAAUCUAGUAUCUACGUUUUUUUUUCCGUUAUAAAACAAUUUUUUUUUCUUAUGAAGGAUUAUGUAAUUAAGAGAAAUCACUUCAUAAUGAAACAGAUAAAUAAAAUAUAGCGAAUUUU